GAUGAACGCUAGCGGGAGGCCUAACACAUGCAAGCCGAGCGGUAGAGAUCUUUCGGGAUCUUGAGAGCGGCGUACGGGUGCGGAACACGUGUGCAACCUGCCUUUAUCUGGGAGAUAGCCUUUCGAAAGGAAGAUUAAUACCCCAUAAUAUAUGAUUCGGCAUCGGAUUCUCUUGAAAGCUCCGGCGGAUAGAGAUGGGCACGCGCAAGAUUAGAUAGUUGGUGAGGUAACGGCUCACCAAGUCAGUGAACUUUAUGGGGACUGAGUGGGUGGUCGGCCAAAUGGGAAUGCAGACGAGUAGUUGACUCAUUCUGGAGGGGAGCGUGAGGAAUAUUGGAUAUUGGGUGAAAGUCUCAUCCAUCCAGCCCGCGUGAAGGACGACGGCCCUAUGGGUUGUAAACUUCUUGUGUAUAGGGAUAAGCCUACCCGCGUGAGGCUAGCUGAAGGUACGAUACGAAUAAGCGCCGGCUAUCUCCGUGGCAGCAGCUGUGGUAA
rnacentral:rRNA from 1 species